UAAAAUAAGUAUCUUCCUGUAGUGCUGUGCAAUGUAUAUGCACCUGAAUGUAUUUCAGUGUCCAAUGCAUGCUCAAGUAGUAUGUCAAGGAAGAUAUAUACUAAAACAUUGUAAAAGACUGACGAUUGUAUACCCCCAAACUGAUAAUCUGGAUGAAUUUACUUUCUGGAAAGGCUCCUAGACUUAGAAAGGUGAAUAUGUUUUCAUUGUGUAAAAGGCGCAAACCAACAUCCUGAGGAAUUCACGCUUGCCUUGUGUUGACUACUGGACAGAAGAGCUAAUUGUUCUAUAGAGCCUACACAAAACUAUAUACGGUAGAAAUUGUCUAUUGUGGGAGCCCAGUUACCAUGUUUGCAUACACAAAUAAGCACAUUGUUCACCAAACACCUGCACUUCUCAAAAAUGUUCACACAAAGUAAUAACCCAUUCAAUGUGAUCAUGAGUAAGUUUGCUAUGUCAUAGAGUCACAGAAUCAUAGAAUCAGCCGGGUUGGAAAGGACCUCUGAGAUCAUCAAGUCCAACCCUUGAUCCACAACUCUCUGCCUUUCAUGUUGAAAAUGUAGCCAAUAAAGUCCUUCAAAUAUAGUGCUUAAAUUCUAAAUAAGGAAGGACAAUUGAACCCUUGACAUUAUUUAGAUCAUAAGAGGGGUUGCAUAUAGGGAGAAAUCUUUAUAAUAUUUUACUGCAUAUGGAUAAGUCAUCCUCCGGUUUGAUUUCCUCCUUCAUUUGUACCAGCAGAGGGAUAAGUUUGAAAUCUCAUGGAGACUUUAAGCCUGUUCAGCUGGCCAGCAACAGUUCACUGACUGGUACUAGAAUCAGAUGAAAUCUUGAAUGCUGUUAAGAACAACUGUGAUGCCAGACAAGAAAGGAC